UACAUGGAAAAAGUUUAGCACAGUUUCUUACAAGUAAAAAGCCCUCAACAUUUGGGGGACGAUUGUUAUUAUGAUAAACAUGGUAACAAUUUCAAACUCUGAUUUAUAACAUUACUUCUAUUAAAAACCCUUUGCAGAUUCCAACCGACAAUCUCGCAGGUCAAAUUUGGAUCCAGCUUGUUAUCGAGCCAUGGACUGCUUCUUCCCCCAGAAUGGAGAAGGGGCUCGUCUUCCAUCACAGAAGCAUUCACAGGAACUACCAGUUCCUUCAUUCACUGAACUCAUUUUUAUGGAGUACCUACUACAUACAAGACACAGUCUGGAGUUGAUUUCCCGUGGCUCUCAAGGAUUAAGCCAGAAGAUUCCAUUGGACCUCUGACCUCUUUCCUGCCCACCUGGAGGAAUUUGAGGGGUCCCAGAGCAGAGCAGAUCUAGGAUGCUUCUGAAGACCGACAUAGCUUCAUCAGGAGGAGCUGAGACACCAUAAUUUGGGAAAUGUGAAUCUUUUGCCCAUCUAUUCAGGACUCGUGAAGACAGAGAUGAGCCUUCUGCUUCCAGUGAUCAUGGGGCCCCCAGAUGAAGCCAGCCUCAGGAUAAUAAACCAGAGGGGGCAUGGAAGCUGAAGAAAUGCCCUUUCCCCUUCACCUGAAAUGUAAGCCAUUGGAAAGAGCAGUGUCUGGGAAUGACUAGACCCGUAUUUGUGUCCCACUUCUGUCACCAGGGAGCCUCAGGCAAGUGUCUCAGCCUCUCUGCUGCAGCUGGUCCUGGGUCAGUUUAAGUCCGUACACUAUGACCUCCCCCAGGGUGGGAAAUAUAGCUUGUUUAUAGUGCUUGACACAACGGGAGCAAAUUUAGUAAGCAUUUAGGACUUCAUACCUUUAAAUGUUGCUGAAACACAUCCUCGUACACACACAUCCAUCACCAACAAAUAUC